CGACUUCUCUGGCUGACCUUGGCUAUGCUUUUAUGAUUAUUUUGAAGAAGGAGGACCUCUGAAACAAUGCUCACCAAGCUCAGAAGAACCUUUUUCAAAGAGGCCACACUAUUACAGGAUAAAUCUUACUGAAAGGCAAGGGGACAUAGACUGUGGUGUCAUUGAGGUGUGUCUGAGAAAAGUUAACCUUGUUAACCUGAAAAUCAAGGCCAUCACCUGGCCCUGGUUCACACUGCCCUGCCUCUGAACAAACCAAAUCCUGGGAGACAGCCCUUCACUGUUGUUCUUUGUCAAAUAUAGAGUCCUCUGGGAAAAGGAUGCAAUAAACCCUCAGAAAAUCUUGAAGAUGGAGUAUUGGUACAUGCUUCAUAUCAUGAGACGAGGGGAAGAUCCUGUCUCAGAGAAGUCCCUAACAUUUGAAGACUGUCAGCUAAGGACCAGUCAGGGCUCUCUGCAAAGAUCCUAGGUAAGUUUUCCUCUUACUAUGUCUUUUCUAGUACUUUAAAGCAUCCUUAAAUAUUCUUAUGCAAUCAUGCUGCAGAAUCGAAUAAACCAGCAGGAUUCUUAACUAGGAACA
rnacentral:lncRNA from 1 species